rnacentral:rRNA from 1 species
UACAGAGGGGGCAAGCGUUAUUCGGAAUUAUUGGGCGUAAAGGGCGCGUAGGCGGCUUGGCAAGUGGAAGGUGAAAUCCCUCGGCUUAACCGAGGAACUGCCCUCCAAACUGCUUCGCUUGAGACCGGGAGAGGUGAGUGGAAUUCCCAGUGUAGCGGUGAAAUGCGUAGAUAUUGGGAGGAACACCAGUGGCGAAGGCGGCUCACUGGACCGGUACUGACGCUGAGACACGAAAGCGUGGGGAGCGAACAGG